rnacentral:tRNA from 1 species
GGUAAAAUGGCUGAGAUUAGGCGAUAAAUUGUAAAUUUAUAGACGAUGGGAACUUCUUUUACCA